CCUACGGGAGGCUGCAGUGGGGAAUAUUGGACAAUGGGGGGAACCCUGAUCCAGCCAUGCCGCGUGUGUGAAGAAGGCCCUCGGGUUGUAAAGCACUUUCAGUGAGGAAGAACGCCUGGUGGUUAAUACCCAUCAGGAAAGACAUCACUCACAGAAGAAGCACCGGCUAACUCCGUGCCAGCAGCCGCGGUAAUACGGAGGGUGCGAGCGUUAAUCGGAAUUACUGGGCGUAAAGCGCGCGUAGGUGGCUUGAUAAGCCGGUUGUGAAAGCCCCGGGCUCAACCUGGGAACGGCAUCCGGAACUGUCUAGCUAGAGUGCAGGAGAGGAAGGUAGAAUUCCCGGUGUAGCGGUGAAAUGCGUAGAGAUCGGGAGGAAUACCAGUGGCGAAGGCGGCCUUCUGGACUGACACUGACACUGAGGUGCGAAAGCGUGGGUAGCAAACAGGAUUAGAUACCCUGGUAGUC
rnacentral:rRNA from 1 species